rnacentral:tRNA from 1 species
AUUAUCGACUAUAUAAAAAGAAUGACCAAUCAUUUAAUAAAUACUACAUCACUAAGCCCAAAA